UGCUGGGGUACUGCCUUAGAAAUAUAUAUAUAUAUAUAUAAACUGAAUCUAUCUAUUAUAAGCACACACACACACACGUAUUUGUCUCAUAUAUAUAUAUAUCCAUUUAUGUCUAACUGUUCCAUACAUACAUACAUACAUAUAUGUGUGUUUGUGUAUGUAUGUAUACAUACAGGUGCGCGCGCGUGGAUGCGUCUCUGAAUGCAUCAAGUUUUGUAUUAUCCGGUAUUAAACUCCUCCCGCAAGAUGUCGCUUGUACGAAAUGUUUUGUUUUGGAACGAAAUUCUAAUAAAAUACCAAGACUUGUAAAUAAAACAGCUGAUAGGAAAAUCAAUGGCGUUAAGAACAGCAGCAGCAGCAGCAGCAGCGGGGAGUUUCUACGUGGUCACAGGAUCGGCUAGAAAUAGCAACUGAAUCUUCCUCUCGAAUCAGACUCUUUCGUGUUCAAAAGAAAAUAAAACUAAACAGAUAACCAAGAGCACACUGGAAUUAUGUUGUCUUAGAUACACAUAGCAGUGGAAUUGUAGUAGUAGUAGUAGUAGUAGUAGUAGUAGUAGUAGUAGUAGUAGUAGUAGUAGUAGUAGUUGUUGUUGUUGUAGUAGUUAAUGUUACUGAUGUGAAUAUGUUAGUAGUAUUAUUUACUAAAAAUAUUAUCUGGACAAAAGUGUGUCAAUAAUAACAUUACUACUACUACUACUACUACUACUACUACUACUACUACUACUACUACUACUACUACUACUACUAAUAAUAAUAAUAAUAAUAAUAAUAAUAACAGCACAUACCCAAGCACAUACACAGAGCUGCGCUCGGUAGUGAAGUGAAAGCACGAUAUAAAAAAUAUACUACUGAAUAAUAAUAAUAAUAAUAAUAAUAAUAAUAAUAAUAAUAAUAAUAAUAAUAAUAAUAAGCGCAGGCGUAGCUAUGUGGUAAGAAGCUUGCUUCCCAACCACAUGGUUCCGGGUUCAGUCCCACUGCGUGGCACCUUGGGCAAGUCUCUUCUACUAUAGCCUCAGGCCGACCUUGUGAGUGGAUUAGUAGACGGAAACUGAAAGAAGCCCGUUGUAUAUAUAUAUAUAUAUAUAUGUGUGUGUGUGUGUGUGUGUGUGUUGUGUUUACGUCACAGUAAACUAACGGUUCGACAAAAGAGACCGAUAGAAUAAGUACUGGGCUUACAAAGAAUAAGUCCUGGGGGUCGCUUUGUUCGACUAAAGAUGGUUCUCCAGCAUGGCCGCAGUCAAAUGACACACAAGUAAAAGAAAAAAAAUAAAUAAUGGUUUAAAAUGUUGGCAUGAGGCCAAAAAUAUCGGGGGAGGGGUAAGUCAAUUACUUCAACCCCAGCAUUCAACUGGUACUUUAUUUAUCGACCCCGAAAUGGUGAAAGGCAAAGUUGACCUCGACGGAAUUUGAACUUUGAACGUGAAGAACCGGAAUAAAUGCUGCUAUGCAUUUUGUUCGAUGCGUUAAUGAGUUCUCCAGUGCGUGGCCUUAAUAACAAUUAUAAUAAUAAUAAUAAUAAUAAUAAUAAUGAUAAUAAUAAUAAUAAUAAUAAUAAUGAUGAUGAUAAUAAUAAUAAUAAUAAUGAUAAUAAUAAUAAUAAUAAUAAUAAUAAUAAUAAUUAUAAUAAUUAUAAUAAUAAUAAUAAUAAUAAUAAUAAUGAUAAUAAUAAUAAUAAUAAUAAUAAUAAUAAUAAUAAUAAUAAUAAUAAUGAUAAUAAUAAUAAUAAUAAUAAUAAUAAUAAUAAUAAUAAUGAUAAUAAUAAUAAUAAUAAUGAUAAUAAUAAUAAUAAUAAUAAUAAUAAUAAUAAUAAUAAUAAUAAUAAUAAUAAUAAUAAUAAUAAUAAUAAUAAUAAUAAUAAUAAUAAUAAUAAUAAUGAUAAUAAUAAUAAUAAUAAUAAUAAUAAUAAUAAUAAUAAUAAUAAUAAUGAUGAUGAUAAUAAUAAUAAUAAUAAUAAUAAUAAUAAUAAUAAUAAUAAUAAUAAUAAUAAUAAUAAUAAUAAUAAUGGUGAUGCAUGUGCCUGGUGUACCCUUAUCAGACGGGUAGUCAUGAUGGGUAUAUUGGGCUUCGUAUAUUUUAUCCCAGUGUCACUUUGAUGGCAUGCACUGCUCUCUAACUCAAUAAUAAUAAUAAUAAUAAUGAUGAUAGUUGGUUCAGGUUUUGGCUCAAGGCUAGUAAUUUGAGGGCAAAUUGAUUACAUAGACUUGGCUGCUACUUUAUUUUAUCAACCCUCGCUGGGAUGAAAUGUAAAGAUGAUCUCGGCGGAAUUUGAACUCUGAACGCAAAAGUGCCUGAGCCAAUGCACUAUGACAUUUUCCGACGUUCUAACGACUCUGCUAUCAGUGUCGUCAAACUAUCGGCCCUAGUACUUGACUAGUACUAUAUUUUCGUCGAAACCAAGAAGAUGAUGAUAGUGGCGCUGAUAGUGAUGGAAAACGGGGGCAUAUACAGUGAGGAGGGGUGAAGAGGAAGCCCAUAAUACCGAGAAGAGAAAAAUGAAACGCCACCUACCUCUCCAACUACACAUUCCUCACCGUCUGCGCACUAUAGCAUCCACUUCACCCUAAAAAACCCCACCACAACUAUCACCAUCACAGCCACAACCACCAUCACUACUACUACUACUACUACUACUACUACUACUACUGUUGCUGCUGCUGCUACUACUGCUACUACUACUACUACUACUACUACUACUACUACUACUACUACUACUACUACUACCUGCAGUGAACAUUUAACCAACAAUAACUACAAACUCUCCGACGAUCAUACUAACCACCACCACCGCUACCACUAGCCCUAAAUCCCGCCCGCCCCCCACUCUAUUGCACAAUCCACCACAACUACUACCACCGCUACCACCACCACCACCACUGGCCACAAUCACACCCAUCAACCAUCAAAACCACUACCACCACCAUUACCUAACUUACGCACACACAGUCACACACAACUACCACCACGAUCAAGCAAUAAUCCCCCCACACACACACACAUACUAUACAUUGUAACCAACCCCACAAGUGGUAAUCUGUGCUCCACCCCUCCAUAACAAACACAUACUACGGUUACCUACCACUAAUACCUGGAAGCACUCCGUCGGUUACGACGAUGAGGGUUCCGGUUGAUCCGAAUCAACGGAACAGCCUGCUCGUGAAAUUAACGUGUAAGUGGCUGAGCACUCCACAGACACGUGUACCCUUAACGUAGUUCUCGGGGAUAUUCAGCGUGACACAGAAAGUGACAAGGCCGGCCCCUUGAAAUACAGGUACAACAGAAACAGGAAGUAAGAGUGAGAGAAAGUUGUGGUGAAAGAGUACAGCAGGGAUCACCACCAUCCCCUGCCGGAGCCUCGUGGAGCUUUUUUUUAGGUGUUUUCGCUCAAUAAACACUCACAACGCCCGGUCUGGGAAUCGAAACCGCGAUCCUAUGACCGCGAGUCCGCUGCCUUAACCACUGGGCCAUUGCGCCUCCACACCACUAAUACCACCACCAAUACCACAAACACUUCAACUACUACCCCCACCAUCACCACCCGUAAUAUAUACAAAUACACACACACACAAUUAACUUAGCAACUAAUUACAGAAGUAUGUAUUAACGUGAAUAACACAACUUCGGACUAAAUCUGUUGUGAGUCGGGACUAGUUUAGUAGGUAUGUUGUUGUUGUUGUUGUUGUUGUUGCUGCUGCUGCUGCUGCACUGUGACGUUGCUGUAUUGUUGUGAUGCUUUUCUCGUAGUUGUUACGUUGCUGUGAUGAUGUGAAGUUAUGCUUCACAUUUUUGGCGUCGUUGUCCCGCUCUUGCAUUGUUGUGCUGUUGAUGAUGUGUGGCUGUGGUGUUAUAGUGUUGUUGAUGUAUCAUACUGCAACCCGGACCCGAUUUAGACCUAAUUUAGACCCCUAGGCAAACAGCUUUUGAGGACCCCCAACGAUUUUGUUAACUGCAAACGUAAUAAGAUGAUAAUGUGUGCCUCUUUAGAUCUAGGGGUUCCAGUUUGAAAAGGCAUCAAAAUUAAAUGCUUCGGUGAAUUCAAAGGGAUUCACAUAUGUUGGCCUUUUAAAACCUAUAAGGGCCCAAAUCUAAAAGAGGAUUCAAAAGUUUGCUUCCCAACGACAAGGUUCCGGGUUCAGUCCCACUGCGUGGUACCUUGGGCAAGUGUCUUCUAUUGUUGACUUGGGCCGACCAAAGCUUUGUGAGUGGAUUUCGUUGACGGAAACUGAAAUAAGCCUAUUAUGUAUGUAUAUAUAUGUGUGUGUGUGUGUGCGUGUGUGUCUCGCACCACAGCUUGACAACCUGUGUUGUUGUGCUUACGUCCCCGUAAUAUAGCAGUUCGGCGAAAGAGACCGAUAGAAUAAGUACCAGGCUAAAAAAAAGAAAAGGUAGGGGGAAUAAUAAUUAUUUUGCGUCGAUUCUUUCGACUAAAAAUUCUUCAAGACCGUGCUCCAGCAUGGCCACGGUCUAAUGACUAAAACAAGUACAAAAAAAUCGAUAAAAUUAAAAAGAAAUUAAAAAUCAUUUAUUUGAUUGUUGUAAAUAUACUUUUUCAAGUUUUACCUUCAAGGUUUAGGCUGCUUUGAGUUAAACCUCCUCCGUGCUAGACUGGGGGUUCCCUGGAUUAAGGUCCUUGCAUAAAUCCUGGCUCCGACUACAAUAGCGUGUUCUAGUGUUGUUGCUGUGUUGCUGUUGUGGUACUUGGAUCGUGGGGUUGUUUUUAGCCCCCGGUCAUUGCUGAGUCACGUAGACAUUUCAUACCCCUAACGCCGAGGUCGACUUUGCCUUUCAUCCUUUCGGGGUCGAUAAAUUAAGUACAAGUUACGCACUGGGAUCGAUGUAAUCGACUUAAUCCCUUUGUCUGUCCUUGUUUGUCCCCUCUAUGCUUAGCCCCUUGUGAAAGAAAUAAGUAGACAUUUCAUACCCUCUUGUCUGUUUUUGGCUACACUAUACAAUGUAUCAUUCCUUUUUAUGCAGACUGUUGGGUGGACUUUGAAGAAUGUUCGGCUGCUGUUUCUAGAAGAGUUAGUGACUACAUAAAGGCUUCUUUGAUGCAUUUUUUUUGGGGGGGGGGGUAUGGUGUAUGCGUUGUAGCUGAGUGUCCUAGUGUUUGUGGUGUUGUACAAAUGUGGUGAAAUGGUUAUGUUGUAGUGACGGUGUAGUGUAGGGUAUGUGUGGUAGUAGCUGUGUGGAGUAGGGUCCUUUUUGUAGUAGUUGAGCAGCGUUGUGUAUGUUUGUGUUACAGUGGUUGUGUAGCGUGUUGUUUGUGUUGUAGUUGCUCUGUGGUAGAGUGGCUGUGUUGUAGUAUUGUAACUGAUGUUGUUUACUGAGCGGACACCAUCAAAAGCGUUCCCGACAUGUCCAUCCCAUUUUGAUAGAUACCUAUGCCUAAAAUAUCUAAAUGCAUCCUUUCCGUUUUUGAAAGGCGUUAGAGUGGGAUAUGAGGGAGAUUUAGCUGUUACUUCCAGCAAAUCCAUUCGACCGUGUACAUGGAAAGCUGCCAACCGUUUUUACAACCAGCAGCCACCUUUCGUUUACAUCAAAUUUCCCAUUUUUCUUAGGCUUUUCAAAUAAACUUGUAACAAGCUCUCAGACCCUCAAGAUGUCCGCGGAUCGAAGAUAGGAAACUGCUUGCGUAGAGGCUCCUUCAUGUGAUUGUAUUAGUAGCAAAGUUUAGUAGCACUCAUGUUGUUGUUGUUGGUGAUGAUGCUGCUGUUCCUUAACCCAUGAAUCAACAGAUCUAGCAUCAAAUAGAGAUAUUUCAUUUUAUCCGUCUUUCAAGCAUGAACUGUUCAAUGUCCUUUCUUUCAAAGGCGAUACUCUGUGAUUUGAGGUAGAUUUGGCUGCUAUUUCUACAGGUAGGGCGCCCGAGAGAAAUUUGACAAAGUGUAACAAAACUCAAAACUACUCUCUCAAAAUUAAGGACGCUUAGCAAUACCCUUUUAUUUUGGGGAGUUAACCUAGAAAAUAAUCACGGGGACCCAUUUUGGCUCUCGUGGCUGUGGAACCUUCAUAGGACCCUGUCUGCAGAUCAGGUGUCUGUGCAAAGGCUCCAUUAGUGUUGAUGUUAAUGUCUUUGUUCUUAUUUACUACCACAAGGGGCGUCGAGUUGGCAGAAUCGUUAGCGCGCCGGGCGAAAUGCUCAGCGGCAUUUCGUCUGUCUUUACGUUCUGAAUUCAAAUUCCGCCGAGGUCGACUUUGCCUUUCAUCCUUUCGGGGUCGAUAAAUUAAGUACCAGUUACGCACUGGGGUCGAUGUAAUCGACUUAAUCCCUUUGUCUGUCCUUGUUUGUCCUCUCUGUGUUUAGCCCCUUGUGGGUAGUAAAGAAAUAGAUAUUUCGUCCGUCGCUAAGUUCUGAGUUCAAAUUCCGCCAAGGUCGGCUUUGCCUUUCGGGGUCGAUAAAUUAAGUACCAGUUACGCACUGGGGUUGAUGUAAUCAAUUAUUCCCCUCCCCCAAAUUUCUUGUGCCUAAAGUAGAAAGGAUUAUUUACUAUGGUAUUAAGGCCCUUUUUAUCUUUCGUGUGUUCCAAUCUGCGGCCAUGCUGGGGCACUGCCUUAGAGAGAGAUUUUAGUCGAAUGAAUCAAUUCCAGCACUUACUUAUGUAUCUUUUUUCUUUUACUUUUUAGAUCUGAUACUUAUUCUAUCGGUAUCUUUGCCGAAACCGCUAAGUCACGAGGAGGUAAACACACAAACACACCCACGCUGUGGUGGUGGGGGACAACACACACACACACACACACACACACACACACACACACACACACACACACACACACACACACGCGACGAGCUUCUUUCAGUUUCCGUCUACUAAAUCCACUCACAAGGCUUUGGUCGGCCCAAGGCUAUAGCAGAAGACAUUUGCCCCGCAGUGGGACUGAACCUGGAGCCAUGUGGUUGGGAAGCAAGUUUCUUACCACACAGCCUUGUGUGACUGGGUUAACUUUGCAUUUCAUUCUCCUGUGAUCGAUAAAAUAACGAAGAACUAGUAAUUUACAAAGAAUCGAUAAAAGCUACUGAUCCCCUUCAUUGCGUCAAAUUCCCGACCCCGAGAUCUUUAUUGGAAACGAGGAUUCCUCGUUGGAUGACUGUCUCCUUUGAGGUUCCAGGUUCAAAUUCGACUCGCGAGGUUGUUAAAACAGUAACAGUCAAGUACAGGAGGGCGGUGAUAAUAUUAACCGAUAGCUUCCUCUUUCUUUAAGCUUUCGACUCUGAAAUUAUACUUUCUAAUGUAAGGCUCGAAGGAAGCGGGUUAGUCAAUUAGAUCGACCCUGGUGGAGCCGGAUGAUAUGCCACUUAGCGUUUUGCUCGGCCAGCUCACCGCCGCCCUAUCAUCUGGAAAUUAGAAAACAGAAAUAAUUUGUCACCAUCUUUUAUCUUGUACUUGUUUCUGUCAUUUGGCUGCGGCCAUGCUGGGGCACCGCCUUCAAGAAUUUUUAGUCGAAUUAAGCAACUCCACUAUUUUUCUUUUCUUUUAAGCCUUUUACUUAUCCUAUCAGACGGUUUGCUGAACCGCUAAGUUACGGCGACGGAAACACACCAACACUAGUUGUCAGACGGUGGUGAGGACAAACAGAUACAAAGACACACACGCACGCACACACACAUAACAUAUACAACGGGCUUCUUUCAGUUUCCGUUCACCAAAUCCCCUCACAAAGGUUUGUUCGGCCUGAGGUUAUAGUAGAAGACACUAGCCCAAGGAGUCAAGCAGUGGGAUUGAACCCAGAACCAUGUGUUUGGAAAGCAAGCUUCUUACCCCACAGCCACUCCUGUUCCUAAUACUGUUUAUUUCUCUCUCUCUCUCUCUCUCUCUCUCUCUCUCUCUUUCUUUCUUUCUUUUCUGAUUUUGUGUCGGUGGCGGUUCUCAUUGUUGGCGCUACAUCAACUUCAAUGAAGCUGGCCAGCAUUUCAGCUUGUCUUUAGACGAUGGAAUUUGAAGGAAAAUUUGACUGAUCAGUUCUUUAUAUUAUCAAAACUUGUACGAUGAAAGGUAAAAUUAAGCCAGCCAGGAUUUGAAGUGAAAAAAAAAAUGCAUCGGACAAGAAGAGAUCUCCAUCCAGCCCGGUUGUCGGUUCAGCUAUGAACCUUCUCCAAGGCUAGGACCAUAUCUUUCUACGCAGUCCUCAAUCAGGUCUUGACAGAUCUGUCUCGUUUCCUACGCCCCUGCCCUCCACUCAAGGUCACUUCAUAGCCAUGUGCAUGCUCGAGUAUCAUUUUUUGCCGCCGCGCAGCCACGAUCCCUUACUGGGUCCUCACCUUGACCCUUUCCAUGUCUUCUUCUGUUGUGACGUGAUUCCGCCGGGAGAUCCUCGUCGUAGUUUUAUGGCAAUAUCUGUGGAAGAUAUCUGCGUCUUUGCUGCCAGUUACUUCGUUACACGACCAUUUUAUAGACGAGAAAAAUGCGAUGACGACAGAAUGAACGAAUAAACGAUUAUCUUAUGAAAUGCAUUGGCUUACAGUUGUUUCUGCAAUAAGAUGCAUGGGACUCAUAGUUGAGUGCCUGAGUAACACCUUAUAGCUUCGUCAGAACCUCGAAUAUGAAGUGCAAUUUAUUCGUUUAUUCCUUUGUCAUCUCAUUUUCUCAUUGCCUCUCUCUUCUCGACUAAUGCUUCGUUUUGAAGUACACCCACGUUGAGUUCUACACCAGGUUGUUAGUCUUGCAAUGCGCAAGCGAAAUAUAUAUAUAUCUAUGGUCCAUGUAAAUGUUCGGAGAGCCCAAGAAGUACUUGGCUGGCUGAGUAUUCCGUAGAUACCAGUGCAUCCUAAUGUAAUCUUCACGAAUCAACGUGACAAAAGUCUGUGCCAUUUAACAGUCUUCAGCGGAGUUUCCAUCAAUCUCGUUUCAAUCAUUAGUCUUAAUUCGAAUCAAAAUCAUUGGACUGUGGCCAUGCUAAUUUACGUUCUGAGUUCAAAUUCCGCCGAGGUCGAUAAAAUAAGUACCAGUUGAGUACUGGGGUUGAUGUUAUCGCUUUACCCCCUACCCCACCCCACAUUUCUGGCCUUGUGCCAAUAUUUGAAAUCAAUAUUUCAGUGCAUAAAUGAAUAUGUAUAGACCUGGAGGAAUACAUACACAAAUGUGAUUGUUUUUCAUCUCGAGUAAAAUAAAUUUUAUGAUUUCAUCAACGAAGCCAGCCUCAUCCAUUCUCCUCCUUCACUCCACCCCCACCAUCGAUAAUAUUAACCGUACAACAUUCAUUAAACCCCCCUCCCCCACCUCCACACUUAAUUAUAGACUUAUAGACUUUGUACAACGUUGCGAACAGAAGGUGAUCUGUUGAAAUGAUCCGCGUAAUCCGCUGGUCACACUCCACUACACCUAACACACAAAUAUGUGUGUGUGUGUGUGUAUAUAUAUAUACAUACAUACAUACAUACAUACAUACAUACAUACAUAUAUACAUACAUAUAUAUGCAUGUAUAUAUAUAUAUAUAUAUAUAUAUAUUUUAUAUGUAUAUAUAUACGUAUAUAUAUAUAUAUGAACGUACUUAAAUAUAUACUAUAUAUAUGUAUAUAUAUAUAUAAAUAUAUAUAUGUAUAUACAUAUAUAUAUAUAUAUAUAAAUAUAUAUAUGUAUAUACAUAUAUAUAUGCAUAAACAUUUAUAUAUAUGCAUAUGUAUAUAUAUGCUUAUGCAUAUAUAUGCAUACGCAUAUAUAUGCAUAUGCAUAUAUAUAUAUACAUAUGUAUAUAUAUGCAUUUGUAUAUAUGUAUUUAUACAUGUAUAUGCAUAUAUGCAUGUGUAUAUAUAAUUGCAUAUGUAUAUAUGUAUGUAUAUAUAAAUAUAUAUAUAUUUAGAUGUAUAUAUAUGUACAUAUACACAUCAGUAAGUAUGUAUAUUUGGACUUUAUAUAUGAAUAUGCAUAUAUGAUGGAAAUGUGUGUGUGUGUAUGUUUGGAGAGUAAAAGUAAGAGAGAGAGAGGGAGUGAGGGAGUGGUUGGAAGAAAGAGACAUUCGCAUAUUCAUACACACACACACACACACACACACACACACACACUCGCACACCCCUAACCAUUUAUUCAUAAAGACACACAUAAUUUAAAUAAUGAACUCAAUGCGGUUAAUCCGAUGUAUUUUAUAUUAUUCAGUCAAAGCUUACAAUUUAUCAUUUCCAUUCUCAAACGAACUUCAUCAAAGCUUAAUGUUCUGAAAGUAAUAAAAAUAAUUGUUUUAUAUACGCGGCGGAAAAUAUAUGUAAAAAAAGUUCUCGGGAAAAUAAAUGAAUAGAUAAAGGUAUGAAUGUAUAAAAAGUGGGUGGAGUUAGAGGUGAGACCGUAAUUCUACAUAACAUCGAGGCACACAGAGUGGCUACAGUUUAAAUUAUAUGUUUAGAAUAAAUUAUAUUUUAUUUUAUAGAAGAAAAGUGAUUAAAAGUGGAGAGGAGAUGCGACUUAAAUCAGUGAUAAAAUCAAAGCAUAAUGUGAAGAAGACUACCUCGGGUAUCGACAUACAUACAUGCAUGCAUGCACACACACUCACAUGCACACACAUAUGUAUGUGUGUAUGUGUGUGCGAGUGUGCGAGCGUGUAUCUAUCUAUCUAUCUAUCUAUCUAUCUAUCUAUCUAUCUAUCUAUCUAUCUAUCUCUAUAUAUUUAUAUAUAUAUAUGUAUAUAUAUAUAUAUAUAUAUAUAUAUGUUCUUAUUUAUAUAUAUAUAUAUAUAUAUAUAUAUAUGCAUAUAUAUAUAUAUAUAUAUAUAGGAAAAACAAAAAUAAAACUGCUAACAACGAAAGGGGAAAGGACAUACACGGACUAACCGAGACCGUAAUCUUCCGGAAGCAGCGGUCGAAACUGAUCGAUCAGUUUCGGCUUUUCGCUGUUGCCUCUUCAGUGGCCUCUUCCGAUCCAUGGCUAACUUCCUGCGCUUGCGAUGAUUCCUCAACUAAGAAGCGGUGGAAGCUUGAGUGAAGGAGUUCCUUGUCCCGAAGGGCAAGCACUGGUAUCAGCGUGGGGUCAAAAGAACUUUCAGAGAGGUGGCAUCCGACGGUGCAAUAGGAUGACCUCCACUUUAGAUAUUUGGCCGCUUUUGUUGUAACUUGACAAAUAAAACUAACAAGUCACGAAAACAUUGCAAAACUUUUCAGUCGACAGACUUUUUACAAGAAUAUAAAUUUAUAAAUAAAUGAAAGAAGAAUUUACAAAAAAAAAAAGAAAUGAAAGAAAAGUAGAAAAAAUUCUUGGAGAUUUAUGAUGGGCAGGUUUAUAAUUGAUUAAGUAAUUAGUGGCAUUAUUAAUUAGACUACAAUGCAUACAUUUAUAAAUCAUUUCUUUUUUAUAUAUGUACACACACAUACACGCGCGCAUACAUGUACUGAUAUAAAAGUCUGUUCGUACAUGUUUAUGUAUGUGUGUGUCUCUGCGCGUUCCCCCUCCACCGGAAACCUAAUUACUCUCUUUCGUCUUUUUGAAAAGGGAAACAUUACCCGAAAUAUUAUGGGAUCAUUAAACAAUCUUAGAUAACACAUCAUUUCUCUUUGUUUCCCUCUUUUGAAAUUAGUGACAUAUUUUGCCUAAGUUCUCAUUUGUAUUGCUGAAACGUUUUUUAAACACACACACACACACUCACAAUAUUUCGGUGUGUGUGCGUGCGUAUGUGUGUUCAUGUGUAUUUCUCAUUAGCGGGACAACUCUAAACAAGAUUAAAUAUUGAUAUAGAUAUAUACAGUAAAGGGAGAAAAGUAAAAGAGAGCCAUAAGUCUUUGAGUGAUAUUAAAGAUAGCCGUUUGAUGGCCCAAGUACACAGAAGUGUAGAUAUGGGUCGCCAUAAAUACGAACUUUAAAACUUUGACUCUGAAUUUAAUUUUGUGAAAUCUUUUACUCUUUUAAUUUCUUGAAAUUUUUUACUCUUUGUUUGUCAUUUGGCUGCGGCCAUGCUGGAGCUCCGCCUUUAGUCGAACAAAUCGAUACCAAGACUCAUUCUUUGUAAGCGUAGUACUUAUUCUAUCGGCUAUCAAGCGAUGGUGGGAGUACAAACAAACACACACACACAUACACACACAUACACACACAGAUACAUACAUAUAUAUAUAUAUAUAUAUAUAUAUAUAUAUAUAUAUAUAUAUAUAUAUAUAUAUACCACGGGCUUCUUUCAGUUUCCGUCUACCAAAUCCACUCACAAGGCCUUGGUUGGUUCGUGGCUAUAGUAGAAAACACUUGCCCAAGGUGCCACACAGUGGGACAGAACCUGGAACCAUGUGGUUGAUAAGCAAGCUACUCACCACACAGCCACUCUUGCGCCUUUCCAAACUUACAUUUCGAACCUUACACUAUAUCCAUAAGCAAUCCAAGCACCUGAAGAAUAUUAUUUAUAAUUUUGGAAAAGUUUCCACUUAAAAUGUCUAAUAUUUAUGUUAACAAACAGAUAUUUCACGAUUCCUUAAUGUCGCUUAAUCACUAAAAGUUGUUUUAACCAGAAAAUUCGAUAUUGUGAAUAAAGUAACGCAAACAAACAAAAACAGCCGUACAUUAUUUGAGAUCAGCCUUUGUGCAACUUGCAAAUGUAUGUAUAUGUGUAUAUCAGGUAAUCUUACUUGGUCAUAUAUAUUCUUGACAGUUAAAAUAUACUGCGUAGGCCUACAUGUGUAUUUGUAUAUAUUUCAACAUACAUGGAGAAUUAUAUGCACGUGUGUACACACUUCUGAAUCUGUUUUGAAGAUAUUUGAAGCUAUGAGCGGGUUAUGUUGUGUUUGUAUUUGUAGGUAUAUAUAUGAUUGCCUAUCCGAGUUUAUGUAUGCAUAUGUACAUACUUAUGGAAGCACAUGCAUAUGUUAGCAGAUAUAAACGUCUGUAUACGUAUCUUUUUCGCUGGCAUAUUUAUUGUUGAAGGUAUAUCGUUUAGUCGCAUAUGUAUAUUUAUAUAACUAUAUAUACAUAAUUAUCUAUAAUCUGUAUGUAUGUAGGUACGUAUGCAUCUCUCUCUCUCUCUUAUGUAUAUAUAUAUAUACAUAUCACAAGUAUUUUAACUAAUCUGAAAUUAACUUGUCACUGAUACUAAACCCUUUGAAUGUGUGUGCGUAUGUAUGUAUAUAUAUAUAUAUAUACAUAUAUAGUUAAUCCAAACAAGAAAACACAGAAAAAAAGAGAAAAAAACACAGCAACGCAGGACGUGGAACAAUUAAAGUAUUAUUGACGCUCAGGAAAGAAGGGAAGGAGGGUUUAACGUUUCGAGCGGAGCUCUUCGUCGGAAACAAGGAGAAGGAAAGAUCCCAAGGAGGGAAGACAGAGGAGAAAAUAUUUGAGCUGGUGGUGCUCAAGAGAUCACAUAUAUAUAUUUAUAUAUAUAUAUGUAAAUAUAUAUAUAUAUAUAUAUAUAUAUAUAUAUAUAUAUAUAUAUAUAUAUAUAUAUAUAUAUAUAUAUGUAUGUGUAUAUAUAUAUAUAUAUAUAGGCAUUUCUAUAUAUUUGUACACAUAUAUUUUUAUAUGUGAAAGCGCGUUAGGGUAAGUGUUUUGAGCUAUUGUUCAUAAAGUUGAAUUACUUGAUCGGAGGGAGGGAGGUGCGCUGUGUCCUUGAGCAAGGCACAUCAUUUCAAGCUUUUCCAGUCUCUUCGCCUAUAAACGAAUACCAGCCGACUGCUGAUGCAGCUUCGUCUCCUUCCAGCUGUCGCAGGUUCAAUGUUUCGCCGGGUCAAGGAGGAAAGCAUCGAGAAGUUGUCCAUUCUCUGGAGGCUCAGGAGUACAAUUAGAUGUAAAUCAAUUCGCGAAAGCGUACAACAAGCUCUUAAGACAUGGGAGAGAGAGAGAGAGAGAGAGAGAGAGAGAGAGAGAGAGAGAGAGAGAGGGAGAGAAAGAGAGGGAGAGAGAGAGAGGGAGAGAGAGCGAGAGAGAGAGAGAGCGAGUAAAACUUAUAUAUGCACAUCUAUCAGUCUGUGUCCUUCAUCACUGUUUGGUAACAGGUGUUGGUAUGUUUAUGUCCCCGAAACAUAGCGGUUUGGCAAAAGCAAACGAUAGCAAAAGUACCAGGCACUAAAGAAAUCAAAAUGUACCUCCAUCCGCUUAAUGUCCUUCAGUGCAGUGCCCCAGCGUGGUCGCAGUCUAAUGAUUGAAACAAGUAAGAGGCGGAAGAUAAAGAUAUUAGUAUUUAGCCACCAUUCUCUCUCUCUCUUUCUCUCUCUCUCUCUCUCUCUCUCUCUAUCUAUCUAUCUAUCUAUCUGCUGACAUAUAACACACACACACACAUUCUGUAGAUAUCUGCAUGUACGUAUAUAUGCGCGCGUGUGUGUGUGUGUGUGACAAGGGCCCCAGUAUAUUGAUACAUCACAAUAAACACACUCACUCUUCCUUCUUAACUGCACACCCACAAUAUUUCCCAUCAUCCUGUGUCUGUGUGCGCGUCACCGAAAUACUAUUACUUCAAUAGUUUACUUUCACUGCCUGCCGUAUUCUCUCUCUCUCUCAUUCUCUCUCUCUCUCAUUCUCUCUCUCAUUCUCUAUCUCUCAUUCUCUUGCCUUCUCUCUCUUGCUCUUCCUUUGUUUUUAACCUAUAUGCAUGCACGCACGCAAACAACAUACGCAUAUAUAUAUGUGUGUAUAUAUAUAUAUAUAUAUAUAUAUCUAUCCACAUAUAUAUUUCUAUAUUUAUCUGUACAUAUAUAUACUCUCUCUCUCUCUCUCUCUCUCUCUCUCUCUCUCUAUAUAUAUAUAUAUAUAUAUAUAUAUAUAUAUAUAUAUAUAUAUGUUUUUUUCUCACGAUCCCUUUUGAUCGGAAUUUUAUUUUUCGCCUUUUUUUUCUGUUUUCGAAAAAAAAAACUCUACAUUGUAUUUUGUUCCCUCUGUGUUUGGCCCUAUCUAUCUAUCUAUCUAUCUAUCUAUCUAUCUAUCUAUCUAUCUAUCUAUCUAUCUAUCUAUCUAUCUAUCUAUCUAUCUAUCUAUCUAGAUAUCUAGAUAUUAAGUGCAUUAAUGCCCCUAAUAUAAAUAUAUUUAAAGGGAAUAAUUAUAAUUUUUCCCUUAUGAGGUUUUUCACGCUGACUACUUGAUAAAUUCUCAUAAAAAUCUUAUCCUGUUUUUAAAUUUUAAAUUAUAUAGAUAGAUAGAAUCAAUCAAUCAAUCUAUCUAUGUAGCUAUAUAUCAAAUAAAAUCAAAAACAGAACACAAAUGAUAUCGCGGUACACGUGUUUCAAGCUUUAUAAACGACCUGUUCUUACAUCAGUGUAUAAUAGAUAUAAAAGAUGGUUUAAAGCUAUCUUCAGCCGCAUGCAUUGUUAUUCCAAAGAGUUACAUCACACUAUAAAAAAUAUGAAAAGUACAUGUAGUAUUAUCCAUAAUAAUAGGUAUAUCAUAUCUCCCUGAGAGAGUGUAUUUGUAAAAUUUUGUAACUAAAUAGGCGUGUAGGGGAUUAUUGGAUUUCGAAAUUCUGCCCAUACUGUAUCACCAGUCAACAUAGAGUGAAUGUUAAAUAGAUUUGAAUGGAUUCAUUUUUCUUGUAAGGAAAUAGAAAUAAAGAGAAGGAAAAGGAAAAAUGAAGAAAAAUGCAUUUAUAUAUAUAUAUAUAUAUAUAUAUAUAUAUAUACAUACACACACACAUUAUAUAUAUGUAUAUGCAUUCAGAGGUGAUGCCCCAGCAAUAAAUAGUGCUCCAGAAAGGCCACCACGCAAGUGCUGGAACUUGUGAACUAAUAAAAGAAUUAAAGAAUAUAUAUGAAUUUGUGUAUGCACACUCAUGCAUUAUAUAUAUGUGUGUGUGCGCGCGCGUGCAUAUGUGUAUAUAUAUAUAUACAUACACACAAGCAAGCACGAACACAUAGGCAUAAAGGUUUAUGUAUGUACCCGUAUAUGUAUAUACACACUCACACACGGAAUGGAAUGGAAGCACUCCGUCGGUUACGACGACGAGGGUUCCGGUUGAUCCGAAUCAACGGAACAGCCUGCUCGUGAAAUUAACGUGUAAGUGGCUGAGCACUCCACAGACACGCGUACCCUUACCAUAGUUCUCGGGGAUAUUUAGCGUGACACAGAGAGUGACAAGGCCGGCCCCUUUGAAAUACAGGUACAACAGAAACAGGAAGUAAGAGUGAGAGAAAGUUGUGGUGAAAGAGUACAGCAGGGAUCACCACCACCCCCUGCCGGAGCCUCGUGGAGCUUUAGGUGUUUUCGCUCAAUAAACACUCACAACGCCCUGUCUGGGAAUCGAAACCGCGAUCCUAUGACCGCGAGUCCGCUGCCCUAACCACUGGGCCAUUGCGCCUCCACACACACACACACACACACACACGCACAUACAUAUAUAUAAUGCAUGAGUGUACAUACACAAAUACAUAUAUAUUCUUUAAUUCUUUUAUUAGUUCACAAGUUCCAGCACUCGCGUGGUGGCCUUUCUGGAGCACAAUUUAUUGCUGGGGCAUCACCUCUGAAUGCAUAUACAUAUAUGUAAGAGGUACUCCAGCUUGGCCGCAGUCUAAUGACUGAAAGCAAGCAAGAGCAUAAAGAAUAUAUCCACAUACACACAUAUUCAUCAAUACGCGCAUACACGCGCACAUACACAAAUGAUCGUAUAUUAUGUCCGAUGUCAAGUAACGAACCUGAGUACUCUCAGUAGAAACACAGCAUGAAGUAGUUGAUUUAAGCUGGUCCAGUAGCCUGUGUGUAUGUGUGUGUGCGUGCGUGCGUGUGUCACGUGCACAACUGGGACGACCCCAUUUGAAAUGAAGACUCUAUAAAGAAUACAAUGCCUGCUUUUAUAUCAAGGCGAAGCAUUUACGAAACACCUAAGAGAGAAUCGGUUAUGGGAAUCUCUAAAAAUCAGGGUGGAGGAAGAGAGACACAGGUCGUAAUGAGAAAAGAGACUUUUGGUUCGGGAAUGAUUGAAAUUAUGACGAAAUCAUAUUUUGGGAAGGAAUUGAAAAUUCUAUAUUUGUUAGAGAAACAUAAUGGAAUCUCGGAACCGUCCUGCAAGCACAGCAUACGUAGUAUCUACAUAGAAGAAAACAUGCACUUGCACGUAUAAUCGUGUGUAUAUUAUGAUGUAUAUAUAUGUAUUCAUUUACAGAUGUAUAUUGCAUCCAUUUAUUAUAUAUAUAUAUAUACCAGAGCGUCAAACGCAAUUUCGCGCCUUUAACGAAUAUUGUUUCCCUUCUGGUGGCAAUCGGCGAGAGCUGCCGGGAAAUGGGACCGACACAGAACAGACAAACAAUAAAUGGAUAGACAAGCGAUACAGAAGUGAACACACACACACACACACACACACACACACACAUAUAUAUAUAUAUAUAUAUAUAUAUAUAUAUAUAUAUAUAUAUACACACACACACACACACAAUUAGAUAUGAAAGCGAUGUAAGUUGUAAGUAGUAGUUUUAGAAAGUAUACUGACCUUCAUCAUGUAUACACACUUUAAAAGUUAAUAUCUUACUAAAUUUUCAUUUCAGUUUUAAGAUUUAAACCAACAGAAAUAAUGAAAUGGGACAGACUAUGCUAUGAGAUCGAGUGCUACUAAAGACUAUGCUAUGAGAUCAAGUGCUACUAAAGACUAUGCUAUGAGAUAAAGUGCUACUAAAGACUAUUGCUAUGAGAUAAAGUGCUACUAAAGACUAUGCUAUGAGAUAAAGUGCUACUAAAGACUAUGCUAUUAGAUCAAGUGCUACUAAAGACUAUGCUAUGAGAUCAAGUGCUACUAAAGACUAUGCUAUGAGAUCAAGUGCUACUAAAGACUAUGCUAUGAGAUCAAGUGCUACUAAAGACUAUGCUAUGAGAUAAAGUGCUACUAAAGACUAUGCUAUGAGAUAAAGUGCUACUAAAGUACUGCUGUAACUUUGAAAACGCCGUGGAAGUGUAGGAAGUAGCUUGAAACAGGUCUACUUAGGCGUCUUAUCAUCAACCAAAUUAGAGAGAAGAAGUUGGAUGAAGACGGAACUGUUCAUUACGUCCACAAGAAACAUUCAGGAAUAUUUCAAGCAUUGACAAACCCACGAAAGCAAGAUAUAUAUAUAUACAGGAGUGGCUGUGUGGUAAGUAGCUUGUUUACCGACCACAUGGUUCCGGGUUCCGGGUUCAGUCCCACUGCGUGGCACCUUGGGCAAGUGUCUUCUACUAUAGCCUCGGGCCGACCAAAGCCUUGUGAGUGGAUUUGGUAGACGGAAACUGAAAGAAGCCUGUCGUAUAUAUAUAUGUAUGUAUGUGUAUGUGUUUGUGUGUCUGUGUUUGUCCCCCUAGCAUUGCUUGACAACCGAUGCUGGUGUGUUUAUGUCCCCGUUACUUAGCGGUUCGGCAAAAGAGACCGAUAGAAUAAGUACUGGGCUUACAAAAGAAUAAGUCCCGGGAUCGAGUUGCUCGAUUAAAGGCGGUGCUCCAGCAUGGCCGUAGUCAAAUGAUUGAAACAAGUAAAAGAGUAAAAGAGUAAAGAGUAUACAUAUAUACUGCCUCCCGACAUUUUUUCUCUUCUACUAUUUUCUUCUCUUCUAUUCUGAACCCUUUCAAAAUUUCUCCAGGCGUUACCCAUUACAAUGCAUCUUGGACUAACGGCCCUUAAAGUCUGUCUUCAUCGAUUGUUUAUUCUGUACGUCCCCUCUGUUGCUGUUUGUUCGUUCGAAGCCCUAACUAACCACAAAUUUUAUAUUUUUAUAAUUUCUGGAUGCUGCUCUUUUAUGACGGUUUCCUAUCUUGUCGCUGAAAGCUCGAGUAAUAAACAGUCGACAACUUCUUUUCCUAUUUUCUCUCUCAUUAUGUGUUUACGUAUUUUUCACUCGUUGUUGAUGUCCUCUUCUUAUUGUGUUUUGUUGUUGUUGCUGUUGUUGUAUUUUGCCAUGUACUUAUCUCUCGUGUAUCUACGUGUUGCUUUCCGCUCGUUGGUGAUGUCUUGUACUUAGUGUGUAUUUUAAACAUUUAUAUAAAUAUAUAUACACAUACACAUGUGUAAAUAUAUGUGUGUAUGUGUGUGUGUGUGUGUGUAUUUCUGUUUUCGUGGAGUCCCAUGACUAUCACCAUCCAAUUACAUUAAGAAUUUGAACUGGGUGCUCGAAUCUUUCAAUAGCUGAUUACACAACCAUGGACAUGCAAUCAUUGUCGUCGUCACACCGACUUAGAAAUUGUCAGUUUUCUAAGUGUUGCAGGAUGUUUUAUACGAAACGUUUGGAUGGAAUUGGACUCCUCUGGCAGGGAUGUUUCAACUGUAUCAAAGAGAAAAACCAGAUUCCAAAUGAUCGGACAGUAUAAGGACCCGGCAGAUCAUACAAGGGUUUUAAAAUAUUAUCGGUGAUAAACCCGGUAAACCGACGAAGGCCAUCGACGAGGAUCAUCAAGUGUCGCAGUCGUCUUUCAGGACUGUGGUGCACGAGAACGUUCGAUACGAGUUGUAUGUGCCAAGGGGAGGUCAAUUCUAGCUUGAAAAUGCAGAGGGAAAGCAUUUGGUCCGUGCCAAGCGGUUACAUAGCAAGUUUACGAACAUAGCAUGCUUUGAUUCAUCAUUGAUGUGUAAAAUUUGCUGAUCAAGAUCAGAAGUCUAACUAGAAAUGACAAAUGGUUAAUUGCAAACCCAUCUGAUGUCCCCAGAGCGAUGCAUACUAAGUUUCCAGCGAGUGUAAUAAUAAUAAUAAUCAUUGCCCUAUCGUCAUCAUCAUCGCGGUGGUGGUGGUCAUCAUCAUCAUCACCAUCAUCACCAUCAUCGUUUAACGUAUGUCCGUUUUCCAUGCCUAGCAUGGGUUUGACGGUUUGACAGGAGUUGGUGAGGCCAGCAGUCGCACCAACUGCCAUUGUGUUUUGACAUGGUCUCUACUGCUGGACGACCUUAGUAAUGCCAACCAAUUUACAGAGAGUACUGGGUGCUUUUUAUGCAGCGCCAACACCGACAGGGUCGCGAAGUAUCUUGGAAUACAAAAACCCCUCAGCUGGGAGAGGAGAGAGUAGUGUGGAGGAGGUGUGGCUUUGUGCCAUUUGAGAGAUUGAAAGGUGUUGAGGGAAAAAUAUGGGUGUUUUGCUGUUGUGUGGAUGGGUGGAUACCCCAGUUAGAAAACUAAAGGGAGUGGGGUAGAGAGUAGAGGAUAGAAACAGAGAGAGAUGAUGGCAAAGAUGUGUCAAGACAUGCCCUCGAGGUACAUUGGGGUAGUGAGAAUAGGCGUGAGGCGAUAUAAGGGUUUGGGCCGGGUGAGUGGGUAGGAUGAGGUGACUGUAGCAAAUGACGGACAGAAAUACAGGGAAAUCUGGGGAAGGAGGCCGCAGUAGAUAUGUGAUGCAUUGGGGGUGGAGGGCCUUGAAGGUAAUGGCAGGUAAGCGAGUAGUUGAUAAGAGGAGAGCAGCACAGAAAGGGGUGUAGAAAGGUGAUUGGUGAAAAGAGUAGGCGGUGGAAGGAGGGUAACAAGUGAGGGGGAGUAAAGAUAACUGAGAAAGCCAGGGAUGUAGUAUGGGCCUAUUAUACUUUCAGGUAAUAGAGGAAUUGGUGGGUGUUAGGUGGUGAAAUAUGGGUGACGGGGCAGAGCCCCUCGUGGACAUGCAUAAACGAAAUCUGGUGGCGCACAGCGGGACUGAACUCGGGACCAAACCACGUCGUUUCGAAGCGAACUUGACUGCCCAAGUUGAAACACGUGUUUACGAGGCAAACUUCUUAAAUAUACGGCUAUACACACACACACACACACACACACACACACACACACACACACACACACACACACACGCACGCACACACAUAUAUAUAUUAGUUUCAAGCGUGAUGUUAGUCGUCAGCCAUUCUGAAUUUGAAUUCAAAAUGGCUGACUACUAGCAUCACGCUUGAAACACAAGAGUACCAACGAAUUUGAAUGAAACUGUUUUGAUCCCUACAUGGAACUCCCAAUAAAUUUGGUAACCUUCUUUCGUUUGUUCAUUCACUCUAUUUAAUUUGCUUUGCGGGAACGACUGUUUUGACGAAGACGCGUAUUGUCCUGACGUUCGAAAUGCGGAGUAGAUAAAACAAGGGACAACUGAUGAAGGGAUUGUUCUUUAGGGACAACUGAUGAAGGGAUUGUUCUUUAGGUUGCCUGUCACGUUUCUCUAUUUGUUUCUUUCGUUGUUCGAAAAAAAGUUCGUUUUCCAGGUUUUUGCCUUUUCAUAUUCUCGUUCGUUUUUCAUGCUGUUCACGUUUUUUGACAUCCUGUACCCAUAUAUGCAUGUCUAUAUACAUAUAUAUGUAGGUAUGUACAUGCAUGUAUGUAUACAUGUAUAUAUAUAUAUAUCUUAUUUAUAUCUUAUUUAUAUAUGAUCGAACGCCACGCAUCCAUUUCCAAGUAAGUAUAUAUAUAUAUAUAUAAUUGCAGCGUGGAAGGUGUUUGUAAGCCAUUUAAGAAACACACAAAAGCCGUUCGAUUCACUUCAACAUUUAAGUUUAAUUUGUCAAAAUAUUUUCGUUGCUAAAAUCCGCGACCUGUUCACUGACAAAAAUCCGUGCUUAUAUAUAUAUAUAUUUGGUUUUUAGAUUUGGUUUGCGAGAUUCAUGCACACACACUGACCCACACACAUGCGCACAAACAAACAAAAGGGAACGCAGUGUAAAUAACGGACAGAGUCAAGACUAUUGAAAAGGUUGCAAGACGCAACGAAAAUUUUAGGAAAAUAAAAAUAAGAAAAACGUGGAAAUUUUACCGGUGAGUGUGUUAAAUAAUAAAGCACUAAAAGAGAAUGACUCUUCCCAGACACAACAGUAUAUAUAUAUAUAUAUAUAUAUAUAUAUAUAUAUAUAUAUAUAUAUAUAUAUAUAUAUAUAUAUAUAUAUAUAUAUAUAUAUAUAUAUAUAUAUAUAUAUAGUUAGUUAGUUAGUUAAUUUUUUGGCUUAAAAAGCAAAAAGCAAGGCCAUGUAGGGGGACAUGGAGUUAUGUACAGAGAGGGUGUUCAUGCAAAGAGUUCAGGUCAUUUGUGGUAAAGGGAGACUUUGAACCGAGCGGUCGUCGGUAUCUUCACUAUCUCGUCCGGCAGCUUAUUCCAUGGAUCCGCAACCCGGACGGAGAAAGUCCCUCUCCGAUUGAGAUGAAAUCGUCGCAGAUAGAGCUUUUCGGAGUGACCCCGCAGCCGACGCUCUGGAGCAGGAGUGAAGAACAGCUCUUUCGAGAGGUUACACUUUCCGCUUAUGAUGUUGUGAGCGAGAAUGAGAUCACCACGGCGUCGUCGUUUUUUCUAGAGAAUAAAGGUCGAGCGUCUUCAGCCUUUCUUCAUAAGACAAAUUCUUGAGACACACACGUGUGUGUAUAUGUGUGUAUAUAUAUAAUGUUUCCUUUGUUGCAGCCUCUGAAGUGUGACCAUGAUGGAGCACCAUCAUGGAUGGUAAAAAUCUAACGAGAAGCUUUAGGACCUCAGAGUAUCUGCCAUAAGACCUCUGUGACUCAAAAACACAGACACACACAAUCAGUGAGUGACUAUAUAUGGUCUAUACAAGCACGCGUACAAAGAACUCAUUACAAAGCUUAAGAGAGUACCACAUUUAAAGAAAGCCUCGUGUUUACUAGCAACACUCGGAGUUACCCGUUUUAAUGGGUUAGGCUGUAGUAAAACCUGGCAGAACUCACUUAUUGCACUUGAAAAAAGAUGUUUUUUUUUUUUUUAGGAAAAUCGAUUAUGAAAUAAAAAAUGAUUUGAUUUGUCGAUAUUAGUCUACUUCGGAAAAGAGCAAUAAGAUGUGAACUACCGAGUGCUACAUAUUGUCGGACUAGUAUGGGAGGGUGGGCGGCGAGAACCGGGAAGGAAUAAAUCGGAGGACGCGGUGGAGCCUAUGUGCAAAAGAUGAUGUGUUGAAUUUGUACAAGUUUAUGUGUGUGUGUGUGCGUGUGUGUGUGCGUGCGUGCGUGUGUUGUGGUAUGGCUUAGAGUUUAUAGGUCACAAUACUCUCGGGGUUGAGUUCCCUUGAGGAAUGUUGGGUGUGAUGAAAAUAUGAAAAUAGGCCGAGUGUAAUUAAGUGAAUAAGUCAACGUAUUGGGCUCCUCUUCUUCUAUAAAUUCGAUGAUGUAAAUCUAUAGAAAGCUAAGUUUUCACUGCUACAUAAUGUCGCAGAAUUUCCAAAGUUGGUGGUAUUCCAAAAUUUUUACCAGUUGACGAUAAAAUUCAUGUUUGUGCCUCCACAUCCCAAAUAUACCUUGAUUGAGUGUUGACAAUCAUCUGGCUGAAUUUCGCCGUCCAUGUGUAUGGUGGUGGUAUCGUAAUUUAAACGAGUUGGCAGUUCAGUCAAUACAAUGUUUGAUUGUUCGUGUAGCUGUCGGUAGCACAUCAGCAUUAUAUACGAGAGAACUUGUUAGGUAUCCACUGUGGAGGGCACACAGGGGUGGGUUUAUGUAAUGCCUUAGUGAGAUGUUAGAGUCAAAGGAUCUUUUAACUUGUACCUGUUUCAGUCAUUUGACUGCGGCAAUGCUGGAGCACCGACUUGAAGAAUUCUUAGUCGAAUGAAUCGAUCCUUGUGCUUAAAUAUAUUCUGAAGCUUGGUACUCAUUGGUCCCUUUUGCACUUAUUCUAUUGGGUUCUUUUACCGAAGUUACGCGGACGUAAAUACACCAACACCGGUUGUCAGGUGGUGGGAGGAGGGACAAAUAUAGAUACAAAGACACACAUAUAUUUGACGGGCUUCUUUCAGUUUCCGUGUACCAAAUCUACUCACAAGGUGGUUGGGUGACCCGAGGCUAAAGAAGAUACUUGUUUAAGGUUCUAGGCAGUGGUAGCGAACCCGGAACCGUGUGACUGGGAAGCAAGCGUCUUACCACACAGCCACUCCGACGCCUAUAUAUUGAGAGGAUUGGCUUUGUUUUUGUUGAUUAGUAUUCGGCAUGGAUUCAGGGAAGUUCGAAACGAUAGAAUAGCGAACUUCGACCCCUUUUUUUGACAAAGAAGAAGGUUCUGGAAAUAUAUACGCUUAUUGUAUUAUCGGAUGUAUUGGGAUUAGCGGAUGUAGGAAUUUUCUGGCGUUGCGUGAGUUAAAGACGCUUACUGACAGUUUCCUUAUAAUCUUGUCGCAUUGUGAAACAAACAAACAAAAUAAAUACAGAAACCUUCAUCGUACAAAAUCCCAAAUAUCCCGAGAUGAAUGUUUUGUGUCGAUUCUUUAAGAGCAAGGUUGGAUGGUUUGAGUUCUUACAAUUUACUCAAGAAUUUUGUUUGGUUUUUCUGUUUGGGGUUGGUUUAAAAAUUCUGGCACAAGGCUAGCAAUUUCGGGUGAGGGGAUAAGUCGAUUACAUCAACCCCAGUUUUCAAUUGGUACUUAUUUUAUGGAGCACAAAACGGUAAAUGGCAAAGUCGACCUCGGUGGAAAUUGAACUCAGUGCGCAAAGGCAGGCAGACGAGAUGCCGCAAAGCACCUCCCCCCACCCGGUGUGCUAACGAUUCCACCAUCUUGCUUCCUUUGUAUGAGGCAAUAUUAGCAAUAUAUUCGUUAUGGCGGGGAAAUCAGUAACUUUGAAGUUUAUGUUAACAUUAAAUUUUCAGCUUAACUUUUUGAAUAAAUUAUGUUUCUUCUGGCUUUUGUUGGCCAUUUAUACUCCGACAAAUGGUAGAUCAUCAUCGCAGCAUGCAUAUCUACACACACACACACACACACACACACACACACACACACACACACAUAUAUAUAUAUAUAUAUAUAUAUAUUCACACACACAUAGACAGCGCACAUGGAACUGGGAAGUGAAAAUAAAGACGUUUUAUAAUUUUCCAGAGUUUAACUCCAAUUUCCUAAAGUGGAUGAAAUGCAAAUGCUCCUCCUGGAUAGACAGCCAAACCACUCGACACUUAUUUUGCCAGCAGUUUGGUAAAAUGAGAAAAUUAAAUGUUUUGACCUCUAGAUAAAUCGAAACGUCAACAGUGAAUAUGAUUUAAUGAUAUAUAUAUAUAUAGUUAUAAAUUGGGAAAUGAAUGAAUAGAGAAAUAGAUGGAUGGUUGGAUGGCUGGAAAUAGAGACAGAGAAACAGAUAAGUAUACAUAAGAUAUGGAUAAAUAGACACAGGUAGAUAAAGGAAUAGUUAGAGGGAUGGAUGUUGACAUAGAAAGGUAGAUAGAUAAAUGGAUAGGUGGAUAAGGUAGGUAAAUAGAUACAGAGAGAGAGAGAGAGAGAGAGGGAAAGAAAGAGAGAGUGGGAGGAAGAGAGAGAGAGAGAAAGAAAGUCUGAUAGGUAACUAGCUAGAUAGGUAAGUUGGUAGAAAGAUUGGUAGAUAAAUAAAUUGAUAGACAGAAAGGUAAAGAGAGAGGGGGAGAUGAGAAGAAAUAGGAUCGGAAGAGAGAACAGAGAAAGUGUGUGUGUGUGUGUGUGAGAGAGAGAGAGAGAGAGAGAGAGAGAGAGAGAGAGAGAGAGAAAGAUGGAAAAUGCAAUAAGAGAGGCACGGGUCAGUUAGGAGAAGAACGGAUGAGAGAAAGAAAGGGGAAGAGGAAAUACAAUGCAAAAGGGUAAGAGUGUGAUAAGAGUAGAAGUGAGAGUGAGCGAAGGGGAGGUUGUGGAAUUAAAAACAAUAAACAAAAUAAACUUGAAACAUUUCGGUUUGUUUCUGAGAGAAAGCAGCGGCGGCGGACGAAGAAUUAGGAGGAAGGAUGAGGGGGUAUGAAUGUGAGGAGAAGCGGGAGGUAUGCAUUUUGACUGGAGUAGUAAUGUUCGAAGCAAAAGAGGAGUGGAAGGAGGGAGAUGUUAAGAGAGAAAAACAUUAAAGCUGUAAAGGAGAGGGUGGUGGCGGCGCGGCGAAGGCGAUGAAGGGAAGGCUGGAGCUUGUUUUAUGAUUCUGGGCGUGUCUAAGUCACUUGCUCAUACACACUGGCAUAUGCACACACACACACAUAUAUAAGAGAGGAAGAAAAUUGUGAUUUAUAAUGAUGUCAGGGCGUGGUAUGAACUGUCAGACGAAGGAGAAGUAAGAGUAGGAGUAUGAAUAGAGGGAGGUAAAGUAUAGAGAGGCAGGCGAAGGAGUAGGAGGAGUGAAAGGUUCCAUAGACCAGAGGAAGAAGUUACCUUUGCCUUAUAUGGAGAAAGAUGGGUGGAGCUAUAAUUCGAUUUAGAUAAAAUGAGUAGUUUUCCUCCAUAAUACGAAAAAUGGAUAUAUAUAUAUAUAUACAUACACACAUAUACAUAUAUAUGUACAUAUAUAUAUAUAUAUAUAUAUAUAUAUACACAUUUAAUAUAUAUAUAUAUGUGUGUUUAUAUAUAUAUAUAUAUAUAUAUAUAUAACACACACACACAUAUAUAUAUAUUAAAUGUGUAUAUAUAUACAUAUAUAUAUGUACAUAUAUAUGUAUAUGUGUUAUAUAUAUAUAUAUAUAUAUAUAUAUAUAUAUAUAUAUAUAUAUAUAUAUAUGUGCGUGUGUAUGUGUAUAUAUGUAUAUAUGUAAUGUGCGUAUACAUAUGCAUACACAUUCAUUUAAAUGUAUGCAUAUCUAUGUGUAUGUUUAUAAGUACUAUGUGUAUGUGUUUACAUGUAUGUAUAUUAGAAUGUGUAUGCAUGAGUAUAUGUAUGUAUGUGUGUUUAUAUGUAUAUAAGAUCGAACCGCGCAAGGGCUUGACACCCGUGAAAAGUAAUUCACAUAAGACACUUUUCAUACGUCAGAAUGAACACCACCACACACACACAUACACAUAUACAUACAUAUAUAUAUAUAUGAAAUCAGACGCCUGGAAACUGUGUAGGUGAAUUGCUUGAGGGGUGCUGAAGCCGUUGCGGCGGUGUUCGAUCUGGGCCAUCUUGGAAUCCGUCCAUAAGCCUCAAGUGACAAUUAUGGCUUUCUUUCCGCUGGGGGAGGAAAUCCGUGUAUCCGGUUCAUUAGGAGGCUCCACCUGAGGAAAUAGAUAUCCAUUCACCAGGUAUUGGCCCUCAUCCACCUGUAUUUGCAAAACCGACUUUUGAAAAUAUCACCUUGGUAAAGUGGCAUACGUGCAUACAUACGCGCGCGCGCGCGCGUGUGUAUACACAUACAGACAUAUACCUAUAUGUAUGCUUAUAUAUGUAUAUAUAGUAAUAGUAAUAAUAAUAAUAAUAAUAAUAACUAUUAUUAUUGUUGUUGUUAUUAUUAACGCAGUGAACUGGGCGAAAUGCUUAGCGGUAUUUCGUCUGCCGUUACGUUCUGAGUUCAAAUUCUGCCGAGGUCGACUUUGCCUUACAUCCUUUCGGGGUCGAUUAAAUAAGUACCAGUUACGCACUGGGGUCGAUAUAAUCGACUUAAACCGUUUGUCUGUCCUUGUUUGUCCUCUCUGUGUUUAGCCCCUGGUGGGUAGUAAAGAAAUAGGUAUUUUGUCCUUCUUUACGCUGUGAGUUCUAAUUCCACCGGGUUCACUUUGUCUUUCAACCUUUCAGCGUCGAUAAAAUAAAGUACCAGUCAUGUACUGAGGUCCUUGCAAUCGACUAGCCCCGUUCUCCGAAAUUCCAAGCCUUGUACCUAUAGCAAAAAUCAUCAUCAUCGUCAUCAUCAUUAUUAUUAUUAUCCUUAUUGUUAUUAUUAUUUAGUGACUGUUCGAUUCGGCUCCGCGUCGAAUAAUAUAUGUAACCCCUUUUAAAUGCGUUCAGUGCUUCUUCCUUCCUUCCUUCCUUCCUUCCUUCCUUUCUUCCCUUGGGCAAGUGUCUACAAGCAUAGCACCGGACCGACAAAGCCUCGUA
rnacentral:lncRNA from 1 species